UUUAGCAGCCGGGACUCACUCAGUCCCUGGAGGCCCAGAGAUGCCUCCCACCUGGCACUCUGGGGUCCUUCCCAGGGCCCCAGGUUGGAACGGGAGGAGACACCCUCUCUGUUCCUCCCCCACAACCGGAAGGAAGCUGGGAGGACCACACCUGACGCCAGCAGAGCCCUCCUCUGGCUGGUGAGAGGUCCGCUUCGACCUUGGACCCACCAGCCAUAAAGCAAUCACCAGGAUGAGAUGGAAGGGCAGAGGGAGCCCAUUCCCCACCAAGUUUUCCUCCAUGGUGUUUGGAGACCCUGAUUCACACCCUGUCUUCACACACUCCCAGGAGCCCAGAACUUUCUGGAAAUGCCGCAGAGGAUGGUGUUUUCACAAGAGGAGGAGGAGGCAUCCUAUUUCAAGGGAACCUGGACUCCUCAGAGUCAGGAAUGGGGUGAGGAGGAGGCAGAGAGAAGCCCAGAAGUCAGAUUUCACCUACUUGGUACACCUGCCCAGGACGGGCCUGGCGCGGUGCCGCCACAGCGAAAGCUGAGUAAAUAUUAUGACUGGAUCGCCAAAGACCAGCCAAACCAAACAAACCCCUUAAAGAUCCACCGCAGAGGGAUUGCAAAGGAAACAGGCGAGAUCCGGGAGCCAAGGACGAGGUAGCGAUACCGGCAUCCAGAGGGGACAGUUCCUGUAACGCAGGGUCUUCCCCCGGGCACUGCUGACACUGGGGUCCUGUCACUCUCUGUGGGGCUAUCGUGGACACUGGGGGGUGCCAAGCAGCAUCCCUGGCCCCUACCUACUCGAUGCCAGGAAUAUUGUGACAACCAUAGAUGUCCCCAGACAUUGCUCAGUGCCCCUCCCCGGGGGGAGGGGGGAGGGCAACUGCUGCAAUGUAACUCAUUGUUGGAUACAAGAAACACAUCAUGUGCGGCACAUAGUAGGUCCUCAUUAAAUUUUUGUUGCAUGAGUAAAUAAUGACCGAUGCAUUGAGAA